rnacentral:rRNA from 1 species
UGGGGAAUAUUGCACAAUGGGCGCAAGCCUGAUGCAGCAAUGCCGCGUGAGUGAAGACGGCCUUAGGGUCGUAAAGCUCUUUCGCCUGUGAAGAUAAUGACGGUAGCAGGUAAAGAAACCCCGGCUAACUCCGUGCCAGCAGCCGCGGUAAUACGGAGGGGGUUAGCGUUGUUCGGAAUUACUGGGCGUAAAGCGCACGUAGGCGGACCAGAAAGUUGGGGGUGAAAUCCCGGGGGCUCAACCCCGGAACUGCCUCCAAAACUAUUGGUCUAGAGUUCGAGAGAGGUGAGUGGAAUUCCAAGUGUAGAGGUGAAAUUCGUAGAUAUUUGGAGGAACACCAGUGGCGAAGGCGGCUCACUGGCUCGAUACUGACGCUGAGGUGCGAAAGUGUGGGGAGCAAACAGGAUUAGAUACCCUGGUAGUCCACACCGUAAAACGAUGAAUGCCAGUCGUCGGGUAGCAUG